rnacentral:tRNA from 1 species
UGGCUAAGUGGUAAAGCGCUUGGCUUCCGAACUGGAGUUCUCCGGGUUCGAAUCCUGG